rnacentral:rRNA from 1 species
UACGAAGGGGGCUAGCGUUGCUCGGAAUCACUGGGCGUAAAGGGUGCGUAGGCGGGUCUUUAAGUCAGGGGUGAAAUCCUGGAGCUCAACUCCAGAACUGCCUUUGAUACUGAGGAUCUUGAGUACGGGAGAGGCGAGUGGAACUGCGAGUGUAGAGGUGAAAUUCGUAGAUAUUCGCAAGAACACCAGUGGCGAAGGCGGCUCACUGGCCCGUUACUGACGCUGAGGCACGAAAGCGUGGGGAGCAAACAGG